GCCUGGGUGGCUCAGUCGGUUGAGCAUCCGACUUCGGCUCAGGUCAUGAUCUCACACUCCGUGAGUUCAAGCCCCACGUCGGGCU
rnacentral:tRNA from 1 species